rnacentral:rRNA from 1 species
GACGAACGCUGGCGGCGUGCCUAAUACAUGCAAGUAGAACGCUGAAGGAGGAGCUUGCUUCUCUGGAUGAGUUGCGAACGGGUGAGUAACGCGUAGGUAACCUGCCUGGUAGCGGGGGAUAACUAUUGGAAACGAUAGCUAAUACCGCAUAAUAGUAGAUGUUGCAUGACAUUUGCUUAAAAGGUGCAAUUGCAUCACUACCAGAUGGACCUGCGUUGUAUUAGCUAGUUGGUGAGGUAACGGCUCACCAAGGCGACGAUACAUAGCCGACCUGAGAGGGCGAUCGGCCACACUGGGACUGAGACACGGCCCAGACUCCUACGGGAGGCAGCAGUAGGGAAUCUUCGGCAAUGGACGGAAGUCUGACCGAGCAACGCCGCGUGAGUGAAGAAGGUUUUCGGAUCGUAAAGCUCUGUUGUAAGAGAAGAACGAGUGUGAGAGUGGACAGUUCACACUGUGACGGUAUCUUACCAGAAAGGGACGGCUAACUACGUG